rnacentral:rRNA from 1 species
ACACGGGGGUAUGCUCAGUACGGCGAGUGAAGCGGCAAGAGCUCAAAUUUGAAAGCUGGCUCCUUCGGGGUCCGCAUUGUAAUUUGCAGAGGAUGCUUCGGGUGCGGCCCCUGUCUAAGUGCCCUGGAACGGGCCGUCAGAGAGGGUGAGAAUCCCGUCUGGGAUGGGGUGUCCGCGCCCGUGUGAAGCUCCUUCGACGAGUCGAGUUGUUUGGGAAUGCAGCUCUAAAUGGGUGGUAAAUUUCAUCUAAAGCUAAAUACUGGCCGGAGACCGAUAGCGCACAAGUAGAGUGAUCGAAAGAUGAAAAGCACUUUGAAAAGAGAGUUAAAAAGCACGUGAAAUUGUUGAAAGGGAAGCGCUUGCGACCAGACUCGCCUCCAGGGUUCAGCCGGCAUUCGUGCCGGUGUACUUCCCUGGGGGCGGGCCAGCGUCGGUUUGGGCGGCCGGUCAAAGGCUCCCGGAAUGUAGUGCCCUCCGGGGCACCUUAUAGCCGGGAGUGCAAUGCGGCCAGCCUGGACCGAGGAACGCGCUUCGGCACGGACGCUGGCAUAAUGGUCGUAAACGACCCGUCUUGAAAAC